AGAGCUGGUCUGAGAGGAUGAUCAGCCACACUGGGACUGAGACACGGCCCAGACUCCUACGGGAGGCAGCAGUGGGGAAUUUUCCGCAAUGGGCCAAAGCCUGACGGAGCAAUACCGCGUGAGGGAGGAAGGCUCUUGGGUUGGUAACCUCUUUUUCUCAAGAAUAAAAUUUGAAGGUACCUUAGGAAUAAGCCUCGGCUAGCUCCGUGCCAGCAGCCCCGGUUAUACAGAAGAUGCAAGCGUU
rnacentral:rRNA from 1 species